ACUUAGCAUGAUAAGAAGAAAACAUCUAACGGAGUGCCCAAGUAGCGGUUCUCUAUGAUUCUGAUGGAAGUACAAUGAUGAAAUUCACACCCAACCUCCCACCACUUUGGAUUUUUUUUAUCAGCUGGCUAGUCGCUGAACUAUCGCUCAGCACGCGGGCUUUGGCGGCCUCAAGGCAGAUGGCGCAGUCCGAAUUCUCGAGCAAGGUGUUGCAAAGGGCGUGGCCGUACGCGACCGAGUUAAAGUACGUGGACGAGGUGUAGUAAUUGUAGUAGUCGUGGUUCGGGUUCGGGGUCACGGUCACUAGAUCCUCGAGGAGAUGAGCCACGCCGUCUCCAAACGGGGUCGCCGGGCAGGUAACUGAACAAGUUACAGUCCCCCUCUAACGGGGUCGUGUCCGGGUAGCCUCUGGCGAUGCCGCACGCCGAGCAGAGGGCGACGGCGUAAAGUAGGAAGAAUCGCGGAAGAACAGCCAUAGAUAUUCUCGUUUCGUCUUAUCUCCCUCUUAAUUUUCUUUCGAAUUCGAUGUGCUA